AUUGAACGCUGGCGGCAGGCCUAACACAUGCAAGUCGAGCGGAUGAAGGGAGCUUGCUCCUGGAUUCAGCGGCGGACGGGUGAGUAAUGCCUAGGAAUCUGCCUGGUAGUGGGGGAUAACGUCCGGAAACGGGCGCUAAUACCGCAUACGUCCUGAGGGAGAAAGUGGGGGAUCUUCGGACCUCACGCUAUCAGAUGAGCCUAGGUCGGAUUAGCUAGUUGGUGGGGUAAAGGCCUACCAAGGCGACGAUCCGUAACUGGUCUGAGAGGAUGAUCAGUCACAGUGGAAAGGAGAGACGGUCCGGGGGGCAGAGGGGGGCAGCAGUGGGGAAGGUGCAGGAAUGGGGGAGAGCCUGAGGGAGCAGUGCGGGGGGAGUGAGGAGGGUCUUCGGAUCGUAAAACUGUUUGAGGGGGGAAGAGGGGGAGGGGAUGGGACCAUGGGUGUAGUGACGGGACAUGAUCAGGAAGCGACGGCUAAAUACGUG
rnacentral:rRNA from 1 species